GACAGCAGCAGCCGCGGUAAUACAGAGGGUGCGAGCGUUAAUCGGAUUUACUGGGCGUAAAGCGUGCGUAGGCGGCUUUUUAAGUCGGAUGUGAAAUCCCUGAGCUUAACUUAGGAAUUGCAUUCGAUACUGGGAAGCUAGAGUAUGGGAGAGGAUGGUAGAAUUCCAGGUGUAGCGGUGAAAUGCGUAGAGAUCUGGAGGAAUACCGAUGGCGAAGGCAGCCAUCUGGCCUAAUACUGACGCUGAGGUACGAAAGCAUGGGGAGCAAACAGGAUUAGAUACCCCUGUAGUCCCUGUCUCUUAUAC
rnacentral:rRNA from 1 species